GUGCCAGCAGCCGCGGUAAUACAGAGGGUGCGAGCGUUGUCCGGAAUCACUGGGCGUAAAGGGCGCGUAGGCGGCUUGGUAAGUAGGGGGUGAAAUCUCAUGGCUCAACUGUGAGGCUGCCUUCUAGACUGCCUGGCUCGAGCACAGUAGAGGCGAGUGGAAUUCCCGGUGUAGCGGUGGAAUGCGUAGAGAUCGGGAAGAACAUCGGUGGCGAAGGCGGCUCGCUGGGCUGUUGCUGACGCUGAUGCGCGAAAGCGUGGGGAGCAAACAGGAUUAGAUACCCGGGUAGUCC
rnacentral:rRNA from 1 species